CCUACGGGGGGCAGCAGUGAGGAAUAUUGGUCAAUGGACGAGAGUCUGAACCAGCCAAGUAGCGUGAAGGAAGAAGGCUUUCGGGUUGUAAACUUCUUUUCUCAGGGACGAAGAAAGUGACGGUACCUGAGGAAUAAGCCACGGCUAACUACGUGCCAGCAGCCGCGGUAAUACGUAGGUGGCAAGCGUUAUCCGGAUUUAUUGGGUGUAAAGGGCGUGUAGGCGGGAGCGCAAGUCAGAUGUGAAAUCUCAGGGCUCAACCCUGGGCCUGCAUUUGAAACUGUGUUGCUUGAGUGCUGGAGAGGCAAGUGGAAUUCCGGGUGUAGCGGUGAAAUGCGUAGAUAUACGGAGGAACACCAGUGGCGAAGGCGGAUUGCUGGACAGUAACUGACGCUGAGGCGCGAAAGCGUGGGGAGCAAACAGGAUUAGAUACCCCGGUAGUC
rnacentral:rRNA from 1 species